rnacentral:misc_RNA from 1 species
UCUCCGUUGGUGAACCAGCGGAGGGAUCAUUACAAGAGCGAGGGCCCUCGUGGCCCGAACCUCCAACCCCAUGUUGUCCGACUCUGUUGCCUCGGGGGCGACCCUGCCGUUCGCGGCGUGGGGCCCCCGGAGCCCAUCAAACCCUGCGUAACUAAGUCGUCGGAGUUUAAACAAAUUAAACAAAACUUUCAACAACGGAUCUCUUGGUUCGGGCAUCGAUGAAGAACGCAGC